rnacentral:rRNA from 1 species
AUUGAACGCUGGCGGCAGGCCUAACACAUGCAAGUCGAAUGGUAACAGGAAACAGCUUGCUGUUUCGCUGACGAGUGGCGGACGGGUGAGUAAUGUCUGGGAAACUGCCUGAUGGAGGGGGAUAACUACUGGAAACGGUAGCUAAUACCGCAUAACGUCGCAAGACCAAAGAGGGGGACCUUCGGGCCUCUUGCCAUCAGAUGUGCCCAGAUGGGAUUAGCUAGUAGGUGGGGUAACGGCUCACCUAGGCGACGAUCCCUAGCUGGUCUGAGAGGAUGACCAGCCACACUAGAACUGAGACACGGUCCAGACUCCUAAGGGAGGCAGCAGUGGGGAAUAUUGCACAAUGGGCGCAAGCAUGAUGCAGCCACGCCGCGUGUAUGAAGAAGGCCUUCGGGUUGUAAAGUACUUUCAGCGGGGAGGAAGGGAGUAAAGUUAAUACCUUUGCUCAUUGACGUUACCCGCAGAAGAAGCACCGGCUAACUCCGUG